UAUAAAUAAAUCAGAAUGGAUCAGAUUUUUUCAGAUUGUCAACAUGUUCCGACUGUUUCUCUUCGCUUGUGUAUUCAUAUUUGUUAAUGCAAAACUGUCUACAAACGUGAAUCGAUGUGGUAGAAAUUUAGGUGAAUUACCUCUCCAUAUAUAUAUACAGGGCUGCAUAAACCCCCCCUGCCGAGUGGUGACGGGUCAGGAUGUGGUGGUCAACGUUCUCUUCAAAGUUCCUCGUACAACUCGCAGAAUGACGACGAAAGCAUUGGCCAUGUCAUCCAUAAAGUAUGAUCUUAAGGAGUAUGCAGUUACAUGCAAUUAUCUAAAAAACACAAAAUGCCCAGUUUUCAAAGAUCAAAUAGUUGAAUAUAACAUGCGUAUGCGCGUAGAGUCAUGGUUUCCAGCUGUCCGAUCUAUGCCCAUACAGUUUCGAGUUGUAGACGAAAAAGAAGCCCCUAUUUGGUGUAUCAGCACUACGAUCGAAGUGAGAAGACCUUCCCAUAAACAAUUACUUUGAUUAAAUAAAAACUUAUUCAAUUUU